GCCAGGUUGCCCGAGUGGCCAAAGGGAGCGGACUGUAAAUCCGCCGCGCAAGCUUCCAAGGUUCGAAUCCUUGACCUGGCA
rnacentral:tRNA from 1 species